AGUAGCUGUGUGGUUUUUUCUUUCAGAUGCUAUGAAUGAACAUAAUUAAGUUGCUGCAUCUACUUUUUAAGCCAUUCAAAUUGAUAUCCUGUGUUAUUAUAUUACCCCCUGUUGCUCUAAAUUGGUUAUGUAACUAUCAUGCUUUUUGUUUAAAAUCAUUCCUUUCAUUAUUAUUGCAACACUUUUGGAUUGGAAUAACUACAUCUGUAGUGCUAAAACUUUUGUCUUUUCUUACAGUCAAUCCUAGAUCUUGUUUCUUAUGUUAUUUUUUUACAAUCAACCUGUAUCUUUAAAAUUGUUCACCACAAUCCUAUUUGUUUCUGCUAGACAAUGGCAUAUGCCAAAGGUACUUUAAAUUUUUGUCAUUUCAGUCUUGAACUUUCUUCUUUCUUUUUUCCUCUUCAAAUAAAUAAUAAAUAUAUAAAGUCCACUAAAUUCU
rnacentral:misc_RNA from 1 species